rnacentral:lncRNA from 1 species
CAGUGUGCAGGCCCGUGGGAGGUUCUCCAGGGAACCUUGGCUGUCUCAGUGCGUCGGUGCAGAAGGAGGUGGCGCCUGGGUGCAGAAGGAGAUGGCGCGUCGGUGCAGAAGGAGGUGGCGUGUCGGUGCAGAAGGAGAUGGGCUUCGCCCUGCAAGGAGGAAGGCUGAAUUGGACCCUGGCCUCCUGAGAGCAUGCUGGAUACUGUGGUGAAAUGCAUUUUGAAGCAAAGGCAGGAUUUCAUCAGCUGAGCUUCCUUCCUGGUGAUGUCACUCGGCCGCCUAGGACCAGCAGCUGUCACUUUCUACCUCCUCACUACCCACCAGCAGCAUCGUGUUGUCAGGAGGGGUUUCCGCAUCGGUUUGACGAUCCCAGGCUCCCCCUAAGUUAUGCCUGCACAACUGGAGUAUGUUAUGUGAAAGGAAAAUAAAUCUUGGGAUUCCAGAAUCACUCAGCCAAAGGGAAAAGUCAACCUGGGAACUGCAGCUCGGCAAACAUGCCUCCCAUUCUAUUCCUAAAUAAGAGAGCUAUGAAGAAAGCUACACACCUCCGUCAGUACCUCCCCGCAAGGAAAUUCCUUGUGGACCGGUACAGACAGAACCGAAAGUCCUCCCUCUGCUCACGUGAGACAAAUGCGUAACUGGUGGUUUCCUCUGCCCUCUUGUUUCACUAAGCCAGACUAAGGUAUAAGUGAUGAUUCCUGUAAAUUGUGUAUUCAGUGAAAGGCUCAUCAGAAACUCAGAAGAAUGCAACCAUUUGUCUCGUAUCUACUGAUGACCUGGAAGCCCUCUCUGAGCUUAGAGCUGUCCAGCCUUUCCAGACCAAACCAAUGUACACCUUACAUGUACUGACUGAUGUCUCAUGCCUCCCUAAAAUAUAUAAAACCAAGCUGUGCCCCGACCACCUCGGGAACAUGUCAUCAGGGCCUCCUGAGGUUGUAUCACUGGUGCGUCCUUAACCUUGGCAAAAUAAACUUUCUAAACCAAUUAAAACC